rnacentral:rRNA from 1 species
AGCGAACGCUGGCGGCAGGCCUAACACAUGCAAGUCGAGCGCCCCGCAAGGGGAGCGGCAGACGGGAGAGUAACACGUGGGAACGUACCCUUCAGUUCGGAACAACCAAGGGAAACUUUGGCUAAUACCGGAUACGUCCGAAAGGAGAAAGAUUUAUCGCUGAAGGAUCGGCCCGCGUCUGAUUAGCUAGUUGGUGGGGUAACGGCCCACCAAGGCGACGAUCAGUAGCUGGUCUGAGAGGAUGAUCAGCCUCACUGGGACUGAGACACGGCCCAGACUCCUACGGGAGGCAGCAGUUGGGAAUAUUGGACAAUGGGCGCAAGCCUGAUCCAGCCAUGCCGCGUGGAUGAUGAAGGCCCUAGGGUUGUAAAGUCCUUUCGGCGGUGAAGAUAAUGACGGUACCCGCAGAAGAAGCCCCGGCUAACUUCGUGCCAGCCGCCGCGGUAA